rnacentral:rRNA from 1 species
GCUUGCUGCCAUACCACCCUGUCUGCGCCCGAUCUCGGAAGCUAACCAGGGUCGGCCCUGGUUAGUACUUGGAUGGUAGACUGCCUGUGAAUACCAGGUGCUGUAAGCU